rnacentral:rRNA from 1 species
GACGUAGGGUGCGAGCGUUGUCCGGAUUUAUUGGGCGUAAAGAGCUCGUAGGCGGCUCGUCGCGUCGACCGUGAAAACCCGCGGCUUAACUGCGGGCUUGCGGUUGAUACGGGCGGGCUAGAGUUCGGUAGGGGAGACUGGAAUUCCUGGUGUAGCGGUGAAAUGCGCAGAUAUCAGGAGGAACACCGGUGGCGAAGGCGGAUCUCUGGGCCUUACCUGACGCUCAGGCGCGAAAGCUAGGGGAGCGAACAGG